rnacentral:rRNA from 1 species
GACGUAGGGCGCGAGCGUUUGUUCCGGGAUUUACUGGGCGGUAAAGGGCGACGUAGGCGGCCGACCGCAAAGUCGACUGUGAAAAUCUCCGGGCUUAACCCGGAAAGGUCAGCCGAUACUGCGGGGCUAGAGUGCAGAAGGGGCAACUGGAAUUCUGCGGUGUAGCGGUGAAAUGCGUAGAUAUCGAGAGGAACACCUGCGGC